AGAGUUUGAUCAUGGCUCAGAACGAACGCUGGCGGCAUGCCUAACACAUGCAAGUCGAACGAGGGCUUCGGCCCUAGUGGCGCACGGGUGAGUAACGCGUGGGAACCUGCCCUGUGGUACGGAAUAACUCCGGGAAACUGGAGCUAAUACCGUAUGUGUCCUGCGGGACAAAGAUUUAUCGCCAUGGGAUGGGCCCGCGUAGGAUUAGCUUGUUGGUGGGGUAACGGCCUACCAAGGCUUCGAUCCUUAGCUGGUCUGAGAGGAUGAUCAGCCACACUGGGACUGAGACACGGCCCAGACUCCUACGGGAGGCAGCAGUGGGGAAUAUUGGACAAUGGGCGCAAGCCUGAUCCAGCAAUGCCGCGUGAGUGAUGAAGGCCUUCGGGUUGUAAAGCUCUUUCGCACGCGACGAUGAUGACGGUAGCGUGAGAAGAAGCCCCGGCUAACUUCGUGCCAGCAGCCGCGGUAAUACGAAGGGGGCUAGCGUUGUUCGGAAUUACUGGGCGUAAAGGGCGCGUAGGCGGUACUUCAAGUCAGGCGUGAAAGCCCCGGGCUCAACCUGGGAACCGCGCUUGAGACUGGAGAACUAGAGUUCGGGAGAGGAUGGUGGAAUUCCCAGUGUAGAGGUGAAAUUCGUAGAUAUUGGGAAGAACACCGAUGGCGAAGGCAGCCAUCUGGACCGACACUGACGCUGAGGCGCGAAAGCGUGGGGAGCAAACAGGAUUAGAUACCCUAGUAGUCC
rnacentral:rRNA from 1 species